GUAACAAUUUAUUUUGUUCUGACGAAAAAGGGAGAUGGAAAGUCAGUGCCAAAUGCAUAUCAAUCCUUGGUCGAGCUUAUUUAUGAUUUAGUGCUGAACCUGAUAAACAAACAAAUAGGUGGUCUUUUCGGAAAGUGGAACAAAAGUUUUUCCCUAGUAUCUUGGUCACUUUUACUUUUUCGUUAUUCCGUAAUCCUCUGCAGUAUAUGA
rnacentral:rRNA from 1 species